rnacentral:rRNA from 1 species
CCGCGAUAGGCCAAGGCUUCUGGAAUGAACCAUGGCCGAAACCUAUACGGCCCCUGGAUUGGACUGCGGCCGAUCAGGCUGUUGGUGAGGUAAUGGCCCACCAAACCUGUAACCGGUACGGGCUUUGAGAGAAGGAGCCCGGAGAUGGGCACUGAGACAAGGGCCCAGGCCCUAUGGGGCGCAGCAGGCGCGAAACCUCUGCAAUAGGCGAAAGCUUGACAGGGUUACUCUGAGUGAUGUCCGUUAAGGGCAUCUUUUGGCACCUCUAAAAAUGGUGCAGAAUAAGGGGUGGGCAAGUCUGGUGUCAGCCGCCGCGGUAAUACCAGCACCCCGAGUGGUCGGGACGAUUAUUGGGCCUAAAGCAUCCGUAGCUUGUUCUGCAAGUCCUCCGUUAAAUCCACCUGCUCAACAGAUGGGCUGCGGAGGAUACUACAGGGCUAGGAGGCGGGAGAGGCAAGCGGUACUCAGUGGGUAGGGGUAAAAUCCUCUGAUCCACUGAAGACCACCAGUGGCGAAGGCGGCUUGCCAGAACGCGCUCGACGGUGAGGGAUGAAAGCUGGGGGAGCAAACCGGAUUAGAUACCCGGGUAGUCCCAGCUGUAAACGAUGCAGACUCGGUGAUGGGGUUGGCUUUGCGCCAACCCAGUGCCGCAGGGAAGCCGUUAAGUCUGCCGCCUGGGGAGUACGGUCGCAAGACUGAAACUUAAAGGAAUUGGCGGGGGAGCACCACAAGGGGUGAAGCCUGCGGUUCAAU